UGGCGGCGUGCCUAAUACAUGCAAGUCGAGCGGACCUCAUAAGAGCUUGCUCUUAUGAGGUUAGCGGCGGACGGGUGAGUAACACGUGGGCAACCUGCCCUGUAGACUGGGAUAACUUCGGGAAACCGGAGCUAAUACCGGAUAAUCAAUGACACCACAUGGUGUCAUUGUAAAAGUUGGGAUACUAACACUACAGGAUGGGCCCGCGGCGCAUUAGCUAGUUGGUGAGGUAACGGCUCACCAAGGCGACGAUGCGUAGCCGACCUGAGAGGGUGAUCGGCCACACUGGGACUGAGACACGGCCCAGACUCCUACGGGAGGCAGCAGUAGGGAAUCUUCCGCAAUGGACGAAAGUCUGACGGAGCAACGCCGCGUGAGUGAUGAAGGCCUUCGGGUCGUAAAGCUCUGUUGUUAGGGAAGAACAAGUACCGUUCGAACAGGGCGGUACCUUGACGGUACCUAACCAGAAAGCCACGGCUAACUACGUGCCAGCAGCCGCGGUAAUACGUAGGUGGCAAGCGUUGUCCGGAAUUAUUGGGCGUAAAGCGCGCGCAGGCGGUCUUUUAAGUCUGAUGUGAAAGCCCACGGCUCAACCGUGGAGGGUCAUUGGAAACUGGGAGACUUGAGUACAGAAGAGGAGAGUGGAAUUCCACGUGUAGC
rnacentral:rRNA from 2 species